AUUGAACGCUGGCGGCAGGCCUAACACAUGCAAGUCGAGCGGAUGAAGGGAGCUUGCUCCUGGAUUCAGCGGCGGACGGGUGAGUAAUGCCUAGGGAUCUGCCUGGUAGUGGGGGAUAACGUCCGGAAACGGGCGCUAAUACCGCAUACGUCCUGAGGGAGAAAGUGGGGGAUCUUCGGACCUCACGCUAUCAGAUGAGCCUAGGUCGGAUUAGCUAGUUGGUGGGGUAAAGGCCCACCAAGGCGACGAUCCGUAACUGGUCUGAGAGGAUGAUCAGUCACACUGGAACUGAGACACGGUCCAGACUCCUACGGGAGGCAGCAGUGGGGAAUAUUGGACAAUGGGCGAAAGCCUGAUCCAGCCAUGCCGCGUGUGUGAAGAAGGUCUUCGGAUUGUAAAGCACUUUAAGUUGGGAGGAAGGGCAGUAAGUUAAUACCUUGCUGUUUUGACGUUACCAACAGAAUAAGCACCGGCUAACUUCGUG
rnacentral:rRNA from 1 species